rnacentral:RNase_P_RNA from 1 species
ACUGCUGCGUGCCAUGGCGCCGUAAGGUAUUGGCAUGAGGAAAGUCCGGGCUCCGCAGGGCAGGAUAACGGAUAACGUCCGCCGGAGGAAACUCCCGGGAAAGUGCAACAGAAAUAGACUACCGUGGUUUUCCGCGGUACAGGUGGAAAGGCGAGGUAAAGGCUCACCGGCAUGACAGGCAACUGUGUGCAAAUGUAAACCCUAUCCGGAGCAACGCCCGCAGGUCGCCGAGCAAUCGGAUGUCUGCCCGACAGAAGACAGCGGGGGGCUACAGUCGGCUGGCAACAGUCGGAGGAGAUAGAUAGCAGUCACGCGCAAGCGUACAGAACCCGGCUUACAAGCUCGCCU